UGGGGAAUAUUGGACAAUGGGCGAAAGCCUGAUCCAGCCAUGCCGCGUGUGUGAAGAAGGCCGUUUGGUUGUAAAGCACUUUAAGCGAGGAAGAGGCUACUUAGAUUAAUACUCUAGGAUAGUGGACGUUACUCGCAGAAUAAGCACCGGCUAACUCUGUGCCAGCAGCCGCGGUAAUACAGAGGGUGGGAUCGUUAAUCGGAUUUACUGGGGGUAAAGCGUGCGUAGGCGGCUUUUUAAGUCGGGUGUGAAAUCCCUGAGCUUAACUUAGGAAUUGCAUUCGAUACUAGGAAGCUAGAGUAUGGGAGAGGAUGGUAGAAUGCCAGGUGUAGCGGUGAAAUGCAUAGAGAUCUGGAGGAAUACCGAUGGCGAAGGCAGCCAUCUGGCCUAAUACUGACGCUGAGGUACGAAAGCAUGGGGAGCAAACAGG
rnacentral:rRNA from 1 species